rnacentral:sRNA from 1 species
UGUGUGGCCACAGCAGGAUGUCCAGUAUCUUUUUCUUUUGCUCUCCACCUUACUGCCUUGGGCAAGGUCUCUCACUAACCGGAGUCACUCUGUCCUCCAUGGCUGGGGUCACAACGUACACGCAACCAUGUCCCGCUUUUACAUCAACCCGCGCUGACUUUCUACAUGGUGUUCAUGCACCUAUGACGCGUACUUCGCGGAAUGAGCCAUCUCCCCUCACAGGCUAGUGAAGCCACCUGCCCAGUAACACUUUUCCAAGAGGAGGAAAACCUGUGUUCCAGAGGGGCCCGGACGUUUGUCCUCACUUCCCCUGAAUGGAUGGAGUCUAUCCACCCACAGGGUCUGAGGCUUCACAGCCAAUGGCACAUGUCAGCCAGUGUUCCUAGGAGGCUGUGUUGUUGCUGGAACCUCAAAUUGCUGCAUGAGUCGGGGUUCCCGCGGGGCUUUCUCUGCAGCUCCUUCCCACCGCUUCUGUGUGGACCUGUUUGUGCUCAUUCAUCUUUUAUUCAUUCAGUGGGGUAUGGGGACACAAGGACCCAACAGAGGGGACAGUGAGGGAGGGGACACAAGGACCCAACAGAGGGGACACUGAGGGAGGGGACACAAGGACCCAACAGAGGGGACACUGAGGGAGGUGGACACCCAACAGAGGGGACACUGAGGGAGGUGGACACCCAACAGAGGGGACACUGAGGGAGGUGGACACCCAACAGAGGGGACACUGAGGGAGGUGGACACCCAACAGAGGGGACACUGAGGGAGGUGGACACCCAACAGAGGGGACAAUGAGGGAGGUGGACACCCAACAGAGGGGACACUGAGGGAGGUGGACACCCAACAGAGGGGACACUGAGGGAGGUGGACACCCAACAGAGGGACACUGAGGGAGGUGGACACCCAACAGAGGGGACACUGAGGGAGGUGGACACCCAACAGAGGGACACUGAGGGAGGUGGACACCCAACAGAGGGGACACUGAGGGAGGUGGACACCCAACAGAGGGACACUGAGGGAGGUGGACACCCAACAGAGGGGACACAGAGGGAGGUGGACACCCAACAGAGGGGACACAGAGGGAGGUGGACACCCAACAGAGGGGACACUGAGGGAGGUGGACACCCAACAGAGGGGACACUGAGGGAGGUGGACACCCAACAGAGGGGACACUGAGGGAGGUGGACACCCAACAGAGGGACACUGAGGGAGGUGGACACCCAACAGAGGGGACACUGAGGGAGGUGGACACCCAACAGAGGGACACUGAGGGAGGUAGUGGUAAGCAACAGACUU